UACGUAGGGUCCGAGCGUUGUCCGGAAUUAUUGGGCGUAAAGGGCUCGUAGGCGGUUUGUCGCGUCGGGAGUGAAAACACGGGGCUUAACCCCGUGCCUGCUUCCGAUACGGGCAGACUAGAGGUAUGCAGGGGAGAACGGAAUUCCUGGUGUAGCGGUGAAAUGCGCAGAUAUCAGGAGGAACACCGGUGGCGAAGGCGGGUCUCUGGGCCGAUACUGACGCCGAGGAGCGAAAGCGUGGGGAGCGAACAGG
rnacentral:rRNA from 1 species